rnacentral:lncRNA from 1 species
UAUUCUCACUUGUAAUGAUUAAAACAGUUUUAUAUGCUACAUAAAAUACUACAUUUCAUGAUUUCAACCAAACAUAAAAUAGAAUAUCAGUGAGUGAACAAAAUUAUUUAACCAAACAUAAAAUAAUAUUUUUAUUUUUAUUAAAUAAAAUUAUUUAAAUAUUUUUUAUAUUAAUAAAUGUAAAAAUAAUAAUAUAAAAUAUAAAUAUAAGGGUGGUUGAGUAACUUCACCAAAUAAACAUAAAACAAAGUGCAAAUACCGAAAGAGGAAAAAACAAUUGAAUAUUGAAAAACUAACUAAAAAGCAAAAAUAAUUUAAUUUCUUCCUAGCAUUUGUGACAUGGGUAAUGCUAUGGGCUUAUUUGAUUACUCGGAUUAGACGGGACUGGACUACGAAUCCAGUCCAAUCCUGUAUUUGUUUUUCUAAAAUAGCUCUGGAUUACUAGUCCGAACAGACCAAAUAAUCUCUCAUACUUGGGACAAGAAAUUCUAGGGGGUCUAAAGUUUUAUUAGUCCCCCAAGUAGUCCUCGGGUAAUCAAACAAGCCCUAUGGGUACAAUCAAGUUGUACUCCAAAUGCACACCCAAUGAGGUAUUGCAUUUGGAUUGACUGUGUGUGGGGUCCACUCAGUCCUUUCACCCCACACUCAACCACCCUAAAUAUAAUACCUCAUUAGAUGUGCAUUUGGAGUAUAAUUUAAUUGUAUUCAUAGCAUUUCCGUUUGCGACAUACAUCCGUUUGUGACAUACAGCUCAAGCUGGUGGUUGAGUAAUACGAAGAACAAUAAAGUGCAAUGAAAGGGAAUUAAAGAGGUGUUGAAUGAAUAGCAAUCAAGGGCGGAGAAAAAGAGGUUCACGUGGUUGCAACAUGAUGUGCUUGUAAAGGAAACUUGAGCCACCCAUUGCUAAUAAUUAGGCCUAUAAUUGGUUGUGAGGGCCCACGCAUUGUACAAUCAGAGGCUGCGGGCCGUUUGAUAGGAACCCCUAAAGGGGCGACAAAUAAACCCAAAUAGGUGUUAGUAAAUAGUAGAAUAUCACAUCAUUGCCAACAAUAUAGGGUAUAAGACACAGAGGCUAUGUUUGUUUUAAAGAUUGAAUUUAACGGAUUAGAAAUUCAUUGGAUUUAAGGUCAGAUAAUAAAUAUAGUCGGACUAAUCGAAUUAACUAUCUUGUGAAAUUUAAUAUUCACUUGUUGUGUUUUAUAAUGGAUAUGAGUGUGGAUUGAAUACUUUUUUUCAUAUUUUCUAAUUGCCCCUCAUAUCAUAAUUUUUAAAAUAAUACUCUUUUUAAUAAUUUUUUAAUUUAAAAUAAUUAGGAACCAAUUAUCAUAUCAUUUUCUAUAUAAGAAAUAACUAGUAGUAAAAUCCGUGUGUAUGAAGGGGAAUUAUUUUAAUAUAAAAAUAAUUUUUAAUUUAAUUGAAAAUCAUACUUUUUAUUACGUGAUAUAUGUAAGUUGAACUCGUUUUAUUAAAAUAUAUACUCACGCAGUAUAAGGAUGUAUAACUCGUUUUAUUAAAAAUUAUAGCUCACUCAAGUAUAAUGAUGUAUGUACAUAAGAUUAUAAUAUUAAAUGGAUUUAUAUAUAUGUUAUACUAAUUUUGUAUUUUAUGUACCAUGUUGAUUCUUUAUGAUAUUUUUGUUUCUCACUUUUCUAUUCAACAAAAAAAAUAGUAAAGACAAAAAAAGAUGUAAAAUAAAUUAAUCUAUUGUUUUUAUUAACUUCAUGUUUUUUUUUUAAAUAUAUAUAUUUAUUUGUUACUUGUUGACCACUCGAUUUAAAAAAUAACUUUUUUAAGAUAAGAUUUUUUUUUUUUUAACUUUGAAAAUUUAAAUGAGAGAGAAAAAUUAAAGUUGAAAGUGAUCAGAUUUUGAAAAAAUGCAUGUUUAAUAUAUACAGAUCAUUGCUACAAAAUUAUAUUUUAAAAAUAAAACAUUUGGAUAUAGCAUAAUUUAGUAUUUUAUUAUUUUUGGUUUUUUAUGGGUAUUUUAGUAACUUUAGGGCCUAAUCCAUCCUUGGCUGUUGUAAUAAUGGGGUGGGUAGUAUAACAAAUCCGGCCAAUUUGAUGAUUCAAAUUCGUCGAUUACAUAUCCAACCUCAAAGGAGUUACAAACACCAUGAGUAGUACUCCACAGUAUUUGUAAGGUCCAUCCGACAAUCUAUCUCCAAAACAAACAUGCCCAGAAGGUUUUCAAAAAUUUUCAAAUUAAUCCCACAUUAUUUAUGAUUAAAAUUUAUUUAAAUUAAUUAAAUGCCUGACAUUUCACUCUUUCUAAAAAAAUAUCACUUUUUUCUUUUUAAAGGUGUGAGACUUACAUAUGUUGUGAUGCAAUGGCCAAAAAAUUUUAAAAUUGGGUAUAUUUUUUAUUUAUUGGCUCAUUUUUUUAGUGAGACCCACACAUAAAAAACUAAAGGAAAAUGCUAUGGGUAUCCCAAAUGCACAUCCAAGAGAGAAAUAGACACAAAAGAAGUAGGCCCCACACACUCCAAAUGUAUGGAGCCCA